UGAGCCUCACUGUUACGACACCAAGCCAAUUCUUCCUUCUUAUAGAUACUGAUCCGACUUCGACUCUUAAAGGAACACUGCAUGGAUUGUGCACAUGAAUUUUGAUCACUCUUUCCUCUGAUAACAUUCACAAAAUUCAUGUUUCGAGCUUCCCUCAAACAGAGUUCACGGAUCACAUCAUGCAUUCCACAUCUCUCUAUUUCCCCAUCAAAACUCAAAUUGUGGAUAGAAAUUAGACUUCUAUCUACAAGUUCGUUUAUACAUGUUUCUGCCACCUCUUCUAUGCUUUUUCCUUCUUCUUCAUUCAAAAACCCCUCUACGGCCCAUAACUCAACAAGUGCAUUUACAUAAAUCCGUUCAUCCUCUGCGAAAAUUGCAAAAUACAGAAAACACGGUUUUAGGUGAGAAGGCAAGUGAUGGUAACUCAAAGCCAACACUCUCAUGCAUUUUGCUUCAAGAUCUCUGCUUACCACCGAACUUACAUUCUCCGCAACAUUUUGCCACUCAUCCAAUGUUUUACUGAUUUUGGAGAGAAGUCCAGCAAUCAAAGUAAUUUCUAGAGGUAACCCUCCACAUUUUAAUGCAAUUUGUUUCCCAAUAUUUUCAAAUUCAGGAGAAUAAGAACCUUCUUUUUCAAAGAUCUUUUUGUGUAGUAAAUUCCAACUUUCGUCAAAAUUCAUGAGGCGCAUNNNNNNNNNNNNNNNNNNNNNNNNNNNNNNNNNNNNNNNNNNNNNNNNNNNNNNNNNNNNNNNNNNNNNNNNNNNNNNNNNNNNNNNNNNNNNNNNNNNNNNNNNNNNNNNNNNNNNNNNNNNNNNNNNNNNNNNNNNNNNNNNNNNNNNNNNNNNNNNNNNNNNNNNNNNNNNNNNNNNNNNNNNNNNNNNNNNNNNNNNNNNNNNNNNNNNNNNNNNNNNNNNNNNNNNNNNNNNNNNNNNNNNNNNNNNNNNNNNNNNNNNNNNNNNNNNNNNNNNNNNNNNNNNNNNNNNNNNNNNNNNNNNNNNNNNNNNNNNNNNNNNNNCAUGUUCAGGUAAACUGACAAGUGAGCUAGUUUGUGGUUUUAGAUCUUUCAUGCUGUCCGAUGCUGCCAUCCACUGUUUCACGGUGGAAUCAAUGUAUUCUAGUGCUUGUUCCAAGACGAAAAAAAUCUCCCACAUAGCCCUGCUUCUUUCCUCCAAAUUCUGUGCUAAAAAAACAUUUCUUGAUUCCGAGUCAACCAUAUCUUCUGUUGUGUAUGCUACCUCUGCGAUUUCAACUUCCAAGAUUGUUAACCCCUCAUGAUCGCCCAUUAUAUUGCAGGAUUUCUCCAGAAUAGCUCUCAAAGAUUUGAGCUUUUCAUAAAACGGUUGCAAAUCACAUCCAGUAAGUUCCAUUGAUUGAUGUAUGGUUCUCAUAAGGGAAGUAACAGCAGCAUAAGCCAUAUAUCCAAAAAAUAGAAAUAUCUCUCAGUAUGAAAAUGGACAAAUUGCCACAAGUUAUGUAAUUUUUCAGUUUUUAAGAAAACAGAAAAUGCAAAGUUCUUUCUUUUACUAGCUAUUUCCAUCACAUUUCCAGCUAGGUCCACCAACCUUAUCAUCAUGUAGACAAAAGCAGAGACCAAAGUUAAAAAAAAGUAGAAAAAUUUGUGAUCAUUCAUUAUUAGACCGUACACAUAUCUAUUCAUGAAUAUAAGUAUGCUUCUUACAUACAAGAGAUUGAUGAUUUUAAUUACAUUGAAAGCAACUUAGUAGAAUUUUCCAAAUCAAAGAGAGAAAUAUUAAGAUCCAAGUAGGAAUUUCUCUAUUCCUAGUUCGAUUCAAUUAACCAAGCAUAAAUAUCUCUUAAUAUACAUGAGAAGUUUAGACUCUAAAAGUCAAAUCAACAAAAUAUUUAUGGGCUAACACAUGAAAAACUAUUGAGAAAAUCGCCUAAUUUCUGUAAAUUGGCCCUUAAAUCUCCAAAAUGAACUCUAAAAAUUGUCAGACUGUACGUAUUGCUCCCCAACUCCCUACUGAGGGUUCUGUAAAGAUUUCGAUUAGAAUUCGUCCGUAAGUCAUAUCACCAAUAUAUUAAUGACUAACACACACGAAAAACUGAGAAAAUUGUCUAAUUUCUUGAAAUUGGCCCCUAAAUGCCUAAAAUGGACUCUAAAAGUUGUGAGACUGUACGUACUGCUCCCCCGACUCCCUACAGAGGGUUUCGUAAAUGUGUAGCAAAGAAAUCGUCUGGAAGUCAUAUCACUAUAAUAUUAAUGGGCUAACACACACAAACCACUGAGAAAGUCGCGUAUUCCUGUAAAUUGGCCCCUAAAUGCCCAAAAUGAACUCUAAAAUUGUGAGACUAUGUACUGCUCCACUAACUCCCUAUGGAGGGUUCCGUAAAGAUUUCACAAAGAAAUUAUUCGGAAGACAUAUCACCAAAAUAUUUAUGGGCUAAUACAUUUUUAUUUGUCCAUUUGAUUUGACAUAUCUUUCAAGUACUUUGAUCUGGUUAUACUUUUUUUUUAUUGCUAAAAAUAAAUAUCCACUUUUACUUGUUCAUUCUACAAAACAAAGACAAUAUUUUAUUGCUUGAUUCAGAUAUAAAAUUUGAGUAGGCUAAUUUACAAACCAUCUGUAGUCAUCCUGCCCCUAUGCUAUAACAUUUGAAAGAAAGAGGUCAUCAUCAUCAUAUUCAUCAUCGUUGUCAUCUUCAUCAUCAUCUUCAUCAUCGUUGUCAUCUUCAUCAUCAUCUUCAUCUUCUUCAUCAUUAUCAUCAUCAUCAUCAUGAUCGUCAUCGUCACUUGUUUCCUCACUGUUGAAAAAGCCAGCAACAAAAGAUGAAAAAUGAAAUGUUAUGCAAGUAUAACAAGUUACACAAUUACUAUAUUGGAAGGAUUUAAAUCAUAUACAAUGACAACGUAUGAACUUUUACACUAUAGGUGCCAUUUAACUGCUUAUUAAAGCAAUUUAUAAUUAUUUUAUUACUAGUUCUGGACACGUGCUUUGCAUGUGUAUAUUACACGUUUAGUCACGAUUGUAAGAGGGUGUACACCAGGAUCAUUCGAAGAGCAAAGUCGUGUGAGCCUUACAGAUAUUCUUGACGUACUCCUAUUAAAAUCUGUAUCAUAUUCGUAACUUUUUGAAUGAGGUUCACCUUUUUCCUCAUUGUACUUUGUACAUGGAUGUUGUCCAUCACAAUAUCCCCUUUUUCAAAUUUCAUAGCUGAACUACUAGGUGUACGAGUUCCUACCAGAACUACUACCAACUAUUUAUCAAAACACACAUCAACUAUAUAUGAGUUGUUCCCUUUUACUAGUGGUGACAAAUAGGUGGAUUUGGACGGGACUGAAAAUGGAUUGAGCAACAUGGUCGUAACUCACUUAAUCUCUUAAAGCCAGAAAACUUUAAAGAGUUAAUUGAAAUAAACUUAAUGACUAUCCUACUUGAAGUAUCACCGUCGUUCAGGUAAGAAAAAGGAAGUAUAUCAAGGAAGAAGAUGUCUUACAAAGCCUGAUGGAUAUGGACCUCGAUAGAACCUCCAUAGUUGUCUUGAAUGUCCUGUUGAAUCUGCUUUGCGGAAUUCCCAACAGAUUCUGGGCAGUUUCUUAUAUAGAUUAGAGCAAGUGUGGUUAUAUCUGCAAAAUCUUGAGGGAUUGAGUCCAAAAACCUGCAACUAUCAAGAAAUAGUCGUUCAAGGCACGGAAAGUGAUCACAACUAGCUCUCCAGUACUGAAUAUGUGAUCUUUUAAGUAACAAGAACUUCAAAAAAGGAAACCCUUCCUCAGCUACUUCCCACUCCCUGCCUCUGCAUACACCCUGUGUUAGUUCAAGAAGUUCAAGUUUGGGCAAUUUUCCGACAACAAUGCUUAAAUCCUUCCAUGACAAGAAGAAAUUUCCUGUAAAAGUUAAAUUCUUAAGGUUUCGUGGAAAAGCAUCUGGAGGAGGUAAGAUCAAAGAUGGAACAACUUCUACAACAAGUGGAUUCCUUGUCUGAAAACACAUUCUCCUCUCCAAAAAGUAAGCAUUAUUUUGAGGAGGAAGACAAAAUGCUAGUUCCUCGAGAUGAUCUAAGUAGCGAAAAUCAUAGAGGUCUUUGUGACUAUGGAAGUCUUGUGGGAUGCCACGUACUUGCAACUCCUUUAAAUUGGGAAAUAGUCUAAAGAAAGAUGCAGUACAAUAGCUAGGAUUCCAUCCAAACAGAGAAUGUAAAUUUUUCAUAACCAAACUUUUCUCUGUAAGCUCAUGAUAUCGCAAGUAAUUCCGAUCCAAAUGAAGGUGCCUCAACUGUGGCAUUGUCAAAAUAUCUGAUGGUAAUAUCAAAGCAUGUUUACGAAGAUUAAUGACGAGUGGAAGGUAAAGUACCAAACUUUGCAGAUAGCAUAGGUUUGAUAUGGAUGUAGGAAUGUCUACUCUUGAUGAGAGAACAUCUUCUUCGGAUCCUAGAUAUUGCUCAACGUUAGGAUAAAUACGCAAAGCUAGGUGUCUUAAGUGAAUCAAAUAAAGUAUUUCACGGGGAAAAGUUAGACAGAUAUUAUCAGCAAGAUCUAGAACUCUUACUAGCUUGAACGGCAAGUACUCCCUCAUGCAACAUCGGAAUCUACCAAAUAAGAUAACAGAAUGAGCUUCACUGUUAAGGCACCUAACAUACUCUUUCUUAUUAUGGAUGCUGAUUCGACUUCGACUCUUAGACAAACACUGCAUGGAUUUCACAUAUGAAUUUUGAUCAUUCUUUCUUCUGAGAACAUUCACAAAAUUCAUGUUACGAGCUUCCAUCAAACAGAGUUCACGAGUCAUAUCAUGAAUUCCACAACACUUAAUUUUUCCAUCAAAAGUAGUACUUUUAAUGGAAAUUAAACUUCUAUCAAUAAGAUCUUGUAGGUACUUUUCUGCCACUUCUUCUAUGCUUUUCAUCUCUUCUACCUUCAAAAAUCCCUCUGUUUCCCACAAUAUCAUAAGUUUAUUGACAAAAAUCAGUUUAUCCUCUGGGAAGAUUGCGAAAUAUAAAAAGCAUGGUUUUAGGUGGUGAGGCAAGUAAUGGUAACUCAUUGCCAACACCCUCAUGCAUUGGACACCAACAUCUGUGCUUACUGCUGAACUUACAUUUUCAGCAACACUUUGCCACUCACUCAAUGCUUUGUCAAUUUUAGUGAGAAGUCCCGCGAUCACAACAAUUGCUAGAGGCAAUCCUCCGCAUUUCAAUGCAAUUUGCUUUCCAAGUUGUUCAUAUUCAGGGGAGAAAGAGUCUUUCGUAAAGACUUUUUCAUAUAAUAAAUUCCAACUUUCGUCAAAAUUCAUGAGGCGCAUGUGAUGAGGAAGCUUACCUGAGCUAGCAUAUUCAGCCACUUCCACAUUCCGAGUAGUCAAGAGUAUUCGGCUUCCAUUAUGAAAGUCUGGGAAACAUAUUUGUAUAUCAUCCCAAGCUUUUGUAGUCCAUAUGUCAUCAAUGACUACCAAAUAUCUCUUGCCUUUUAGAAGCUUUUGCAGUCGAUCUGCUAGUUGCCCGUCAUGUAGCUGAUCAUAAGGUUUAUCACUUAUACAAGAAAGAAGGUCUAGGAAAACAUUUCUCACACAAUACUCUUGUGAAACAGUAGCUUUUGCACGUAUGUCAAAGCGAUACAUCAUGCAUGGAUCGUUGUAGAGUUUUGUUGCCAAAGUUGUCUUGCCAAUGCCUCCCAUACCUACAAUUGAUACAACUUCUAGUUCUCUUUCUCCUCUAGCAAGUUGAUCCAGCAUCAUCUUGAAUUCAUUUUCAUAGCCAACCAUUAUAACCUCGGACCGCUCAACAGCAAGUUCAGGUAUCUUGGAUAGACAGAAAUUUUGUGCUUUGAAAUCUUUAAUGUUGUUGUACCAGUCCCAUAUUGCCAACCACUGCAUCAUGAAGGAAUCAAUACAUUCUACCUCUUGUUCCAAGGAACAACAGAGUUCCCAGAAAGCUUUGCUUCGUGUAAUUACAGUUUCUGCAGAAGAAACUUUUCUUGAUUUCGAAUCAACCAUGUCUUCUGCUUUGAAUGCUACCUCCGUGAUUUCAACUUCCAAGGUUGUUAACCCCUCAUGAUCGCCCGUUAUAUUGCAGGAUUUCUCUAGAAUAGCUCUCAAAGAUUCGAGCUUUUCAUAAAACGGUUGCAAAUCACAUCCAUUAAGUUCCAUUGAUUGGUGUAUGGUUCUCAUAAGGGAAGUAACAGCAGCAUAAGCCAUAUAUCCAAAAAAUAGGAAUCUCUCACUCUCAGUAUGAAAAUGGACAAAUUAAUUGCCACAAGUUAUGUAAUCUUUCUUUUACUAACUAUUUCCAUCACAUUUCUAGCUAGGUCCACUAACAGGAUAAAGUAGAAAGAUGUGAGGUCACUAACCUUAUCAUCAUGAAGACAAAAGAAGAGACCAAAGUUAAAAAAAAAAAAAGACGAAAAAGUAGAAAAAAUUGUGAUCAUUCAUUAUUAGACCCUACACUAAUCUCUUCAGAAAAAUAAAAUAAAAUUUUAGUUUAAAUAAAGGAAUUCAAGCUGUAUAUUGAUAACGUCCAAUUCAAAUUCAAGUGUAGUACGGUCUAGCAAUAAUAAACUCAACAAAAGUUGGAGUCGAGGAGUACGCUUGUGUCAAGGUGACAGAGAGUGUGCGAAUUUGCUAACAAACAAAAGGUCUUUCUUUUAGCUAGGUCCAUAAUCCAUGUAGUGCUCUAUACUCUCUAGUCUCUAUCAACCAGCUCAAGUUUAAGGGUGUGUUUGGUAUGGAGGAAACAUUUUCUCUAGAAUAGGGAGAGAUUUGUGCAUAAACAAGGAAGAAUCUCUCAGUAUAACAGUGAAUGGGUAUUUUUUUAAGAUUUGCUUCUUUUGUGUAUGACUUUUGUAAGAAACAUUCUGGUAAAAGUUAAAAAAAAUGAUCUUGUGGAAUAGCCACAGUGAAUUCCUUAAUAUUCGAGUAGAAAAAGCCAGAGAGGAUAACAUUGCUAUUUGUACACUUAUCGUGACACGAGUAGUCUCUUAAAUAUUACACCUUUCUACUGAUGUUGCUGAUGCCACUGGAUUUAGCCUUCCGUCUUCCUUUGCAAGGUAGAUCGAGGACUCCCAAGAAAGGAAACACAAGUUACUGGAGUCUGUUCUGGCCUAUACAGUAUGUAUGUACAUAAAAUUUGGAGUAUCUAAAAACCACUGACAAAUGGCUAUACGAAAGAUCAUAUACAAUUAAAUUACAAGCCAUUUGCAAUCAUCCUGCCCCUUUAUGCAGAAUCUUUUCAAAGAAAAUGAAAACGAACAAAACAAACACUCACACAUUUGGCUUCUGAUUUGACAUUUAUUUCAGAGAACUGGCUAGUCGCUGCAGGAAAAAAAAAGACGCAAAAAAUGGAAAAUAAUAUGUUAGAUGUCCCAUAAUUAAGGAACAAGAGAACAUUAUAGCAAGAAUGAGCAUGCAGGUAUAAGAACUUACACAUUAUUGCGGCAAGAAGCAACUUCUUUCUCAAAGUCAUCAUCAUCAUCUUCAUCUGUUGUUACACUAUCGAAAAUGCUAGCUACAAAAGAUGAAAAAUGAAAUGUUACACUUCCCAAAAUCAAGAAUGAGCAUGCAAGUAUAACAAGUUACACAAUAUUGGAAGGAUUCGAAUCAAUCACAAUGACAGCAUCAAGAACUUUUGUUGAAUUGGUGUAAUUUGACUUACUAAAGCUAUUAUCCAGAUUAUUAUCGAGUUUACUAUAAUGAUGAGUUAAAUAUUGUUGUAAAUCAAGGAAGAAGAUGUCUUACUAAAGAUUACGAGUAUGGACCUCGAUAGAGCUUCCAUAGUUGUCUUGAAUGUCCUGUUGAAUUUGCUUGGCGGAAUUCCCAACAGAUUGUUGACAGUAAUGUAUAUCAAUAAGAGCUAGUGUGGUUAUAUCUGCAAAAUCUCGAGGGAUUGAAUCCAAAUACUCGCAAUUUCUAAGAAAAAGUCGUUCAAGGUACGGAAAGUGAUCACUACUAGCUCUCCAGUACCGAAUGUAUAUUUGAUCCAGAAACAAGAACUUCAAGUGAGGAAACCCUUCCUCAACUACUUCCCACUCCUCGCCUAUGACGGCAUUGUGUGAUAGUUUAAGGACCUCGAGUUUGGGUAAUUUACCAACAAUGCUCAAAUCCUUCCAUGCCAAAAGGAAAUCUCCUCUAAAAGUUAAACUCUGGAAAAGAUUAAUUAACAAAAAUUUAUGGUACUAAUUGGGGUAUUAAUUAACAUAUCCUUACUUGAUCACAUAUGUAUUGUUCUGUGUGAAAUUUUCCUCUGACUGAUAGUUGACUAAAUUAUAUUGCAUACGUUCGUGUACAUUUUCUCACUUGGAAGAGUGGAUUUGGACGUAAUUAACUAUCACCAUCGUUUAGGUAGAAAAAAGAAAAUAACUAAUAGUUGAAUGUUUUAAUACAUAGAUGAUCAACUAAUAUGAGAAGAAAAGAGUAGCGUAAAUGUGAGAUUCACUUCUCACCAAGAAUCCUCCUUUCUUAUUAUUUUCCUUUUAGAGGUUAAUAAUUAUUAAGUAUCCCUAGAAUAAUUUAUUGAAAAAGUAGAUUUGAAAGAAAGCAAUUACUCUCUUCUUCCUAUGCGGGACUUCUUGAACAUAACUAAUUUGACAAAAACCACAAUUUUAUUUAUUUUUAGGUGGAAUUAUAUCAAUAAGGAACUAUAUAUGCUUAUGAUAUUAAUCUAAGACCAUUAUUUGUUACUUGAACACAUGGAUUCAUCAUCUGAACAAUUGAAACAAUUAAUACUUGUGUGAACCUUUUUUUAUUUCGAGUGAUGUGUCAUAAUCAUUAGCCAACUAAGACUAGCGUUAAAUUUUUGGUAAGUCUCAAGAAGUGUAAUUAAUACUUAAUAAAAUAAUCUCAUCCUUGAGAUUCAAGAACUUGUUUGGAUUGAAUAGGUUUUUAUCAUCAAGAUCUAGAACAAAGUCUUAAUAUUAGUAAGAGGUAUUUUUGUGUGAAAAGUUUUCUUUGAGGUUCGAGAAAUGGAAUAGAUAUGGACUACAAGUUGAUAUUUCCCAUUGGAAAAUUCACACAAAAAGGAACAAGGAAUUCUCAAUGAAAAAAGCGCUCUCCAAAUCUGUUUAGUAUUUGUCAUGAGGUUCUUAUCAUAAUUGGAUUUUCCUUUUAGGAAAAGGUAAACACAGUCUCCAUAUUUGUCUAGUUCUUUUUCUUGUAGGAAAAAAAUUAUGACUCUAUAAAUAGAUGUUUUGUAACAUCCGACAAUUUGAAAUAGCUAAGAAGAGGCUUGAAAUUUGGAAAUUUUCAAUUUUUGGAAAGGAUUUGAAAAUCUGGAAAAUUUGGCUAAGUAUGGGAAAGGUGAGUUUUUUUGGGCCCAAACUUUGAACAACCAUAAAUUCUAGCUCAGGAUGAGUUAGGUGGAGUUCCGGUUAUGUUUGCAUAGCCCUCGGAACGACCUUUCCAACGCCACUGAGUUUGCUCAAUUCUGAGUUCGUAUGAGCGAGUUAUGGCCAUUGAAAGUUGGGCAGUUGGCAGGGAAUCCGUCCGGAAAAUUAAGGGCAUUUUAGUCUUUUCCCUAGCCAAUUCUUUUGGGAUUAUAUUGUUGUAUAGGGCUGAUCUUUAGAUCAUUUUGUCCCAUUUUAAGAAAUUAAAAUCUAGGGCUUGAGAGUGAAGAAGAGAAGAAGGAGAAGAAGAAGAGAAAAAUCGAGGAGAUCAACAAGUUUCCGACAAGAUCAUCGUGAAUGUUCGUCGGGGGUGAUCCCUAUCAAGGUAUGUGAGCUUUUAGUGUUGGGUGAUACUUUCCCCCACACACCUAGCCCCUUUUAUUUAUUAAGGAAGGAUUGGUUAUGUUGUUAAAGUUGUUAGUUGUUGUGGUUGAAGUUGUUGGAGUUGUUAAAGUUGUUAGUUGUUGUUGUUGGAAUUAUUGUUGGUGGUGGGACAUAAUUGAGUUGUGUUUUUAUGUUGAAAUCUAUUGAAUGUUGAGGGAUUUUAUGUUUCUAAGUGAUUGGGGGCUGGAAUCUUUGAGGUUAGAGGGUUUAGAGUUGGUAACGUGAAGGAGAAAGUCGGGUAGCUUGCGAGGAGCAUGUCUGCGUCGCGGACUUGUUCCUCUGUGAACAAAAAAUCUUCUCCGCGUCGCGGACAGGACGCAGACUCCACUGUUUUCAGAAUUUAUGUUCGAAGAUUUUCUUAGGUUUGGCUGUCCCAAAUCAUUCGCAAAUCAUUCCUAAACAUCAUGAGACCCUUCCAAACACCAAUCAAGUCCUUGAAUCCAUAAUCCAAUUCAAGGUGAGUUAUGAUCAAGUCAAGUGAAGUUAGUUUUCAAGUCAAGUGAAGUUAGAAGUCAAGUGAAGUUAGAGCCAAGCUUAGAAGUUAAGCAAGUCAAAGCAAGUCUUUAAAGCUUUUCAAGAGUCUUCAUUGAACGUUUUGACUUCAUUCUAAGGCUCAAGUUCCAAGUUAAGUAUAGAGUUUCAAGUCAAGCAAAGAGUCUCAAGUUUCAAGUUAAGUAAAGAGUAUCGAGUUUCAAUUUAAGUCAUAAUUUUUCAGUCAAGAGUCAAGAGUUGAGUUCAAUUCUCAAAAGUAAUUAGGGAACUAAGUAUUUCCCAAAGAAGUUUUAUAAGUGUUUUCACAUUUAAGUUGAGAGGAAACGGAGAUUUCCAAAAGAGUUUUGAGAAGUUUGAGCACUAUCUCUUUUAAAAGAAAAGAUGAGUUUUUGAAAAAGAGUUUCUAAAUUAUGAUUAGUAUGACAAAUGGAGUAUGUCAUCAAUGUUUAAACAGUAUGGUCUCUAGAUAUACCAUCAAUGUUUAAGCAGUAUGAAUAUCCCGAGUCAUCAAUGAUCAUAAAAAAAAAAAAUGUGGUUUUGACUUGUUCUAUUUAGAAAGAGUUUUCAAGUGCCUUCGGGCUAAGUUUUGAGUAAUUAUCUCAACUAAAGAAAGAUGUGCUUAAAACACUUAUGAGCUAAAGUAUUUUGGGAGUAGUAUCGAGCACCGAAUUGGGGAAACGAGUUCAUAUUAAACUCAACUCUCCAUAAGAACCAUGUAGCCAAACAUGGGAUUUCUCGGAUCAUACUUUUUAGAUGAUCACGAAAGUUAAGCUAGUGGAUCCAUUAAGCAAAAGUUAAAGUAAGGUCCUAUAUCGAUGGCAAGGUAUAGGAUGGUCCUUGGGCAACGUGAGGUAAAACGUUGUAUCACCACUCAGAUUCAUAGUGGUGGUUUGUCGGUUAGAGAAGCUCCCACAGUAGAAAGAGCAUGGUUCCUCGAGGGUUCUGCUUAGUAUGGAUGGGGGUAUGGGACUUCAUUCAUGCAUUGCACAAGUAGACUUUGAGAGGAAGCAUGGUAUUUUUAUGAUAUUAUAAAUAUGAUUUUUACGUCAUGUUUUAAUAGUUUCAAAAGCUUUAUAUAUAUUGCAUGUGUCUCAUUGCUUUAUAUUAAGUUCAGUUAUUCUUGAGUUGUACAGAGCCAAGGUAAGUUCUCUUUUGUAUCCCUUUUCAAGCUUAAGUUGUUGUUUAGCGGUCCAGCUCGCAUACUCGUACAUUCCAUGUACUGAUGCCAGUUGGCCUGCAUCUUAUGACGAUGCAGACACNNNNNNNNNNNNNNNNNNNNNNNNNNNNNNNNNNNNNNNNNNNNNNNNNNNNNNNNNNNNNNNNNNNNNNNNNNNNNNNNNNNNNNNNNNNNNNNNNNNNNNNNNNCAGUCAGUUAGUUUUGAGUCUCUCAUCUAUGUAUAUAUGUAAAUAUUCUAUUUUGAGACUCGAGUGGCCUUUUUGGCCAGAUGUGUAUCAUUUAAGUUGUUUAUGUCUUUGCAUGGCAUUGAGUUAUUCUGUUGAGUAGGUUUCCGCUGAGUUAAGAAAGCCAGGCCAAGGGUUCGCUUGGGGCCAGCAAUGGUCUCUGAGUGCCGGUCCCGCCCAGGGUGUAGGCUCGGGGCGUGACAUGUUUAUUCAUUCUAGCUUGGUAGCAUUCAUAAUGCAAUCCUAGGGGGCUUUGAGAGUUUUGUGUAUUGUGUGAAGCUAGAGGAAGAAUGUAUGAGACACAAGUAUUACUUUAACACUUGUGUGAACCUCUUUGUAUUCAGAGUGAAUUGUGUGAGGUUAUUCUUCUCUAGAUUUUAUAGUGAUUUUUUCAUCUCCUCUUGUGGAUGUAGAUCGGUUGACCGAACCACGAUAAAUGUUUGUGUCUUUUGAUAUAUUUCUUGUUUGUCUUAUUACUCAUCGUCUUUCAAGGUUUGCUUUGCUAGCUUUUGCAUGACACCUAAUUAUUUCAGUCCCAACAAGUGACAUCAGAGUCAGGUUCAAUGGUUUAAUGAUUCAAUGGUCGAACCAUGUUAAAAAUAAGUGUUCAUCUUGACGGGUUUAGUUCUAGCCGUAACAUAUUUGACAGUAAUGAAGAUUUUUGUUGGAGAAAUAUUUUCAAAGAUGUUUUCUGUGUUGAUAUAUAUAUAUAUAUAUAUAUAUAUAGAUUUUGCAGAGGAGAUGCAAGGUAUUGAAGAUUAUGUGAAGAAGGUGGAUCAAAUUUAUUUUGUCAGAAAUUUAGGCCAAUGGAGAUAUUUGUUUAGUAUUUGUCAUGAAUUUCUUAUCAUAAUUGGGUUUUUUCUUUUAGAAAAAGGAAACCACAAAGUUUCCAUAUUUGGCUAGUUCUUUUUCUUGUAGGAAAAUGUUUGACUCUAAAAUUAUAUGUGUAUUCCUUCUAGCCUAAUAGCAUUUACAAUGUAGUCCUAAGGGGCAUAGAGAGUUUUGUGUAUUGCGUGUAGCUAGGGGGAGAAUGUGUGAGACACAAGUGUUACUUUAACACUUGUGUAAACCUCUUUGUUUUUCCAUUGAAUUGUGUAAGGUUAUUCCUCUCAAUAUUUUGUACUUUCUUUUAUAUAGUGAAUUGCUCAUAUCCUCUUUUGGAUGUAGGUCGGUUGUCCGAACUACGUUGAAUAUUUAUGUCUUUUGGUAUAUUUUUCGUUUGUAUUAUUACUCAUGGUCUUUCAAAAUUUGCUUUGCUAGCUUUUGCCUGAUACCUAAUAAUUUCAGUCCCAACAAAACCAAACGUGAAAGUUGUUUUCCAGCAGACAACUUUUCUAGUAGCUCUACUCUCGACUUGGAUAAUUUAACCAAAAAGGUACGCUUUCGGCCAUUCUACAUGCUGCCUAUGUAGAGACAUGUUUAUCUAAAGUGGAUUCUCUUUUUUGUAGUAGGUAUCAAACCUGUUAUGCCCAUUGACUAAGAAGCUAGGGGUGGACACAACAACUACAUGGACCUCUUUCUUACAUCGGCCAUCACUAUUAAUCGUCUUUGUUAUCACAAUGACCACCACUAUUACCGUCAUCAAACAUCUCUGUCCUCACAAUUACCAUUAUUAUCAACCACUACUAUAUAUCAAACAUUUGCUAUAUUUAUGUUUUUUAUUGACAUAAACAAUGGGUUAACAUGAUAUAAUUUAUUAGUAGUUUUAUAUAUUUUUCUUAUAAUAAAGGAAACAAUCACUUAUACAUUCUUUGAGAUCAUUUAGUUUAAAAUCAGGAGUGGAAUCAUAACUAGGGUUAUAGCUUAGCAUCAAUUCACCUUCUUAAUUAAUGGGAUAAUUUAAUUAGCUAAAUUUGAAUGAAAAGAAGAAGAAAUUGAUUAAUUUAAUUCGUUUACGUUCCAAUGGGGUGUGCAAUAUCCAUAAAUUUGUCAUGUCGUUAUUAGGUGUUCAUGAGAUGCACAUAUUCCAAGCAAAAGUACCUAUUUGAUCACUAGAUGAGUUUAAGUAUUCAAUUUACAAAUUCUGCCAAAUUUGAGGGACUAUCUAGGUAUUAUUUAGAUAAAAUUAUUUGUAUAGUCCACUCUAAACAUACUUAUAAUUAAGCAAGUAACAUAUACUAUAUAAAGAAGCUUCUAGAGAUAAUUAAAGUUAACUCUAUAUAAUUAGAGUUGCAAUAACAAAUACGUCAAAACAUUAAAGUGUUUCACCAAUAAAGUCAUUUUUUUAAUGUCCAAAACUAAUCCAAUGGAAGCUCUAUUAUGUGGAACACCAGAAGAAGUUUCAGUAUUGUUGGUACAUCAUGAAGUAGAAUUUCUUACUAAUCAGACUGUUAAAUUGUUAGAGGCUUAUAAAUACAAAGGUGACAUUCUAGAAUUUUUUUAACUUUUUUGUUUCUUUGAUAUAAUAACUAAAUGCCGUGUGACAUUUUUUUUUAUAUAUAGAGAGAGAUUGAAAUGAUAUGCUUUUUGUUAUCUCAUUUAUGAUUUUAGCAUCGUCCAUUUUUAAAUUUCAUUUAUCUUGUAAAUCUUGAACUUUUCUUUUUCCUUGUUAUCAUAGCACUUUUUAAUUUUUACAAAUUUAUCUAUCCUCGAAGAAAAAUAAUUCUACAUUAGUGAUGGAUGCACAAGAAAUUAGGAUGACGGGAGGGAAGAGAAAGAGCACGAAAAAGACAUGAUAAGAGAUGAUCUGUCUAUCAUUAUUACUUGAGAUAAUAUUUUUUUGUCUUUUAUUGGAUGUAUAAAAAAAAAUGAGGAGAUCUAAUUUUCAUUAAAAAAACAUUUCCCUUUCUAUUUUUUGUUUUUGUUUUUCGUUGGACGUAGACAAAAAAUUGGCAACUCCUUUCUUAUACUUUGUUAGAUCAUCUAAUUACAUAUCUAUGAAAUAAAAUUACCUCAAAACAUUUUAUCCUAUUAUCUUUUGCUUUAAUAUUUAUUUGUUUUUGACAAGCCAUAAAUAAAUUGGAAUAGUUUUUAGAAAUAUAUUCUUUAGGAUCUUCUCUAGUUUUUAGUAAUCCAAUUAACGAAAAAAAAAAACUAAUAUAUACUUUUUAUGUAACCAAUCUAGUUAAGAUUGCACUCAUCAUUUAUAAUAUAAGUUGAUUAAUAUGUGUUAUUUUAAAAAUUAAAGUGCAGAAAUAUAACAUGAAAAUUCACAGUUGAAUUUGAAUAACAAACAAACAUAUCCAAAUGAUACCUUUGUGUACAAUAUUUUUUUUUUCAUAAUUUUCACUGAUUUCAAAUUGCACGGGUAUAUGUAGUUACGGAAGUUAUGGCUCCUGCGGCAAUGUCAAUGCUUUUCAAAGAAAAGAAAAAAAUUGAUGCAAUGAUAAUCAAGGUCAUUUCACCGGAUUCACAUUGCUUUGAGCUCCUGGCACAAGCUGUAACCUUGAACAUCAUCGUAGUAAGUAAGUAUUUAUAAUUCUAUCUUCCACUUAUUAUUAUAGACGGUAAAGUAAGUUUUUUUAAUUAACUAUUGCAUAAUGUAUAUAAUAUUAUUCAAUUUUAAUUGCUAUCUUCUUGAUAUAAUUAUGCAGUUGUCUAUGAUGAACUCAAUGAAUUCUUAGUGAAGAAAGCUUUGGACAAUGGAGCUUACAUUUGCUCGAAGAAGCCUCUUGUCGAGCAAACUAUGACAUUCUUGUGGCAAUUUGUAUGGAGGGAGAAAACACAAAGAGGGAAAUCAAUAAAAAGAGUAGAAACAAAGGGAGAUCAUAUUUUUGUUUGAAGUUAUUGGAGUUCUGAGAAAACAAUAGGUCGUGGUUUUUUCCUCCCUUGAGCAAAGAGGUUUCCACGUUAACAUAUGUGUUCUUACUUUAAGCAUUUAGAUUACUUCUUGUUAUCAGUAUAGUCAAGUGGUCAGAACACGAGAAGACAUGUCACUAAACAACAACAUAUAUAGGAAAAAACAAACUCUGCUAAGUGAUCGAUCCGUGUGUGAUAGUUGCCUUCUUAACCUUGAACUAUUGCUUCCUGCUAGAUUAUAUGAACUUAGAUAUGUAUACAAAUUAGUAUUCAAUGAGUUCCCAAACAUUCGUGCAUAAACAAUUUCCCCUGUUGUCGUGCCACCAGGACUUAGCAUAUGUUCUGUAUUUGUAUAAUUUCGAUGAUGAUCAUGAGAUUGCUGGGAUAAUGGAGGCAUAUUAUUAUUGUGUAUUAGACCGUGACUCCUACAUCUCGAACUAGGAGGUCUUUGUGGUAUGACUAUACCAAAAUUCUAUACCAAAAUUCGGGGCCUUAAUUUCAGAUGUUUUUGUAGCUUGACAGCGACCAUAGAGUGGAAUCAAUGUUUUUUGUGAGACUUCAGCUUUGCAAACAGGGCAAUUUGGUUGUUGGUUAUCGAUGUUCUCUGAUGAAAUGGUCUUAAAAUGUAUCCAUUUGUAGAUGCAAGGCCAACAAUAGGAGGUGACCACAUAAUGUAACAACAGGAUCAUGUACAACAUCUAGGCAAAUGUUGCACUCGAAACCUCCAGGUGAAUUUUCUUCAAGUUUAUCAAGAUCAAUUGUCUCCAUUUUUCAAAGGAAAUAUCGCGUUGAUCAAAGGUAGUUUCUGCUAUUUGGUCUUGAAAAAUUUGUUCUAAGGCCAUAUUUGCCUCUUGGUAUUGAAUUAUUUUGGUAAUGGCAAGAUGAAGAAUGGUUAGAAUUCAGGUUUUUAAUACAAUUAGAAGUGAGUAUUUAUAAGGACAAAGAAUAGUAGUUUGCAAACAAUGAUUCUUAAGGUUGUCACUUGUCAACAUCACAUUAUGUUAAAGGGGCAUGGCCAAAAAGAAAAGGCCCUACACAUUAUUAAACAACACUAUAUCAUAUUACUCAACAGUCUUGAUUUAUGGGGUAUUGUUUGAUUUGAUAUAACAUUUAAUAAGAAAAUGAAGACUUUUAAAAUAUGUACUGUAUUAAAGAUAAAAAAUAAAUUUUAAGUUUUUCGAUCCUAGAAAUGAUAUUCUUUUUAUAUUAAGACUAAAACAAAUGUUUUACAUAAAUUAAGAUAGAUGAACUAUCAAACACAUCAUAAUUAAGUGAUUUAAUGAAGUCAAAAAUAAAUAUUAAUGGAUCAUGGUUAAGUGAGAGGAGUUUUGUGCAAACACGUCUUUUAUCUAUCUAUUUGAUUUAAACAAGCAUAAGUUUUAUCAUAUUAGAAAUAUGAUUAGGACCUUAUAUUAGGCCCCAUGAUAGGAAUCUUAAUCUAGAAAAUAACUUUUAGUCAAUAAAAAGUAGCACUAGUUGCGUACAAGGAGCUACCACUUGAUGACCUUCCACACUUCCACAUCCCAUAAGUUCAAUAGUUUUCACACUAUAAGAACUAGAUGUUUUUUUCCGCGUGAAUCAAUAAAAUUUUUAGUUUUAUGUUAUAAAACAUGAUUUUUUUCAUUUUGAUUUUAUUAAACUAAUUCACUAAGAAAAUUCAUAACGAAACAUAAGUUCUCAUUGAAAUACUGGAAAUAGUCACUUGGAAAUUUAUGAGUUUUAGGAAAUUAUGCAUCAAAACUUAGAAAGACGCGGCUCAUAUAGAAAUUUGUUGUUAAAUCAUAAUAUAUACUUUUACAUCUGAAUAUCUUUAUUGAUUUGGUUAAAAUUAUAAUUAAAAAAAUUACAAUACAAUAUAUAUAGAUUCACAUAAAUUUAAUACUGUAAGUUCAAUUAUUAUUCAAUUAUUAUUAUGAUAUAUUAAUCUAAAAUUAUUAUAGAAGCUUCUAAACUCUAAAUUCAGAUCCAACUAAGGAGUGAAUAUACAUAGUGGGGGUCUGGGGGAUGGGAGAAAACAUAUGGACGGUGUGACAAAUAAAUAAAAGAAAUACUCCGUCCAUUCCAUUUGACUUAGUAUUGUUUGACUUAAUACGAUGUAUAAGAGAAAAAAAAGAUUUUAGAAAAUUAUAGGCUAAAACAAUUUUUAUAUAUUUAUAUAAUUGUAAAUCAUUUCAUUAAUUAAGGGUAGAUGGAGAAUUUUAAGUUUAAUUAUUUUCAAUUACAAUAAAAUGACAUUUUUAAAGACGGAUUAUGAGAAUAGAGUGCCACGUAAAAUAAAACGAGAAAAUACUACUCCCUCCUUCCCAUUUUAUAUGUUACCUUUUUACUUUACAUUUACAUUAAGAAAUAAUGUAACUUUACCCUUCUACCCUUAUUUAAUGUUUUCUUAAGUUAACUUUAUAACUCCCUCCGUCCCAUUUUAUAUGUCAUCUCUUUCUAUAAAUAGUUGGACCACAAUACUUGUCAUUUUAUAAAAUUUAUGUAUAAAUUACCAUAUUUUACCUAUUAUAUCCUUGAUAGAGUAGUUAAUUAAUCUUGAAAAUAUAUUCAUCAUUUAUUAUAAAUUGACUUAAGAAAAUAUUAAAUAAGAAUAGAAAGAUAAAAUUACAUCAUUUCUUAAUAAAAGUAUAAAGUAAAAAUGUGACGUAUAAAAUAGAACGGAGGGAGUACUACAAAAGAACGAGUCCGCACAUGCAUUAUACAAGUACUACAUGUGUCUCGAAUUUAGCAGCCUUUUGUCAACUUUUUAUAUUUUGGCUUACUUGGAAGCAAGUCUAUCCUCUCCUAUACAAUCAAUUAGGGUGGCCAUUAAUCAUAUAUUAUUAGGCUAAAGAUAACAUAUUGCUCCCUCCGUUUUUAAUUAUUUAUCCAUUUUUUUAGUUAUUCCUAAUUACUUGUCUAUUUUUACAAAUCAAGAAAGAACAAUUUUUUUUACCUAUUAUACCGUCAAUUUAUUACUUUGAAAAAAGUAGAACUUUUUGAAAAUCUUGAGUUUUUAAUUCAUCCACUUCAUAAUUAAUAUGGAUAAAAUGGUAAACUCACUAUUUCAAUAAUUGUUUUCUUAAUAGGUGUGCCAAUUCAAAAAUGGACAAGUAAUUAGGGAUAGAGAAAGUAUAUCGAAAUAAUAUAAUAAGAUAUUAUGCUAAAGAUAAUUAACAAAACUUUGAACAAUUAUAAAUAAGAUAGCAAAAAAAUCCAUAGUAAAUUAACAUGGUUCAACGAUUAGUGAUGGAAUCUGAAUAUGAUUCAGGAUUUUCACUAUUAAUGAAAUUCAAAAGGAAUAAUACAUAAAUGUGCCCUUUAACUUGACUUCAUUUUAUGUUUAUGUCCUUCAACUUUGGGUAUACACAAAUAUGCACCUAAACUUGUAUAAAGUUGAACAACUAGACACAUGAGUCCUACAUGACACAAUACACAUAAGAUACCACGUAGGAUAAAAAAUGCCAUGUAGGACAUGUGUGUCUAUUUUUUCAACUUUAUACAAAUUUAAAUAUCUACUUGUGCACACCCAAAGUUGAAGGGCAUAAAUGUGAUUUGAAGCCAAGUUAAAGGGUAUAUUUAUGUAUUAUGCCUAUUCAAAAUAUGAAUAAAUAAACAUAUAAAUUAGCUGACUACAAUAAUAGACAGAUAAAAAAUAAUUUUAACUAUAUGUAUAAAUAAUAUAAUUUUUCAUCGAAAGAGGUUCAUCUGAUUCCUCACUACUUUCUCUCAUUCAAAACUAAGCAAUAUGAGACUUUCAUGUCACAUGGAACCCUUUUUUUUUUUUUUGGAAAUCUCAGUAGUUCAGUUAAUUGACUGACUAUCUGAAUUCUCGAUUUCCCAUGUUGUAAUCCUCUACCCCAAUUUUUUUAUUACCUUCCUCACAUAUGUAUAAGACCGAAUCCAAAUAUCUAAGAUGAGAGAAUUUUGGGAGAGCCACCGACUCCAACUACUGCCAUAUAUUAUCCAUAUUAGAUUUGACCAACUAUCCAUCCUACCCUCCUCUACGUUCUUGACAACCCAUUUUUGUCUUAGUCAAGUCUUUUAGUGGCACGUUUUGAUCCUCUUUUCAAUUACUUAGAAAAAGUGAGUUAUUAUUCAGAUACAAAAUACUAUCAUUAUCGCCUAAAAAAUUAGACAUUCAACCCGUAAUCACAAUGAUCCAAUUACAAAAGCUCCGAACCCCCUAGGUCUAGACUGGCUCUGGCCCUAGUUUUAUCUCUUGACCUUCACAUGAGUAAACUCGUUGAUAUAGAGGAUUACAGUAUUGAUUUCUUUAAAAGAAAAAAACCUUAAUUUAAGGUAUGGAGGCCUAGAAAGGAAACACACGUUAUAUAUGGAGCCUGUUCUGGCCUAUACAGUAUAUAUGUACAUAAAAUUUGGAGUAUCUAAAGAACCACUGACAAAUGGCUACGAAAGAUCAUAUACAAUUAAAUUACAAGCCAUUUGCAAUCAUCCUGCCACCUUAAGCAGAAAAAAUGAAAACGAAUAAAACAAACACUCACACAUUUGGCUUCUGAUUUGACAUUUAUUUCAGAGAACUGGCUAGUCCUCAGAACACCUUAACUACUCGCUGCAGAAAAAGAAAAAAAAGACGCAAAAAAUGGAAAAUAAUAUGUUAGAUGUCCCAUAAUUAAGGAACAAGAGAACAUUAUAGCAAGAAUGAGCAUGCAGGUACGUAUAAGAACUUACACAUUAUUGCGGCAAGAAGCAACUUCUUUCUCAAAGUCAUCAUCAUCAUCAUCAUCUUCAUCUGUUGUCACACUAUCGAAAAUGCUUGCAACAAAAGAUGAAAAAUGAAAUGUUACACUUCCCAAAAUCAAGAAUGAACAUGCAAGUAUAACAAGUUACAAAAUAUUGGAAGGAUUCGAAUCAAUCACAAUGACAGCAUCAAGAACUUUUGUUGAAUUGAUGCAAUUUGACUUACUAAAGCUAUUAUCCAGAUUAUUAUCGAGUUUACUAUGAUGAUGAGUUAAAUAUUGUUGUAAAUCAAGGAAGAAGAUGUCUUACAAAAGAUUCACGAGUAUGGACCUCGAUAGAGCUUCCAUAGUUGUCUUGAAUGUCCUGUUGAAUUUGCUUGGCGGAAUUCCCAACAGAUUGUUUACAGUCACUUAUAUCAAUAAGAGCUAGUGUGGUUAUAUCUGCAAAAUCUCGAGGGAUUGAAUCCAAAGAAUAGCAAUCUUUAAGAAAAAGUCGUUCAAGGUACGGAAAGUGAUCACUACUAGCUCUCCAGUACCGAAUGUAUACUCUAUCCAGAAACAAGAACUUUAAGUGAGGAAACCCUUCCUCAACUACUUCCCACUCCUCGCCUAUGAAGGCAUUGUCUGAUAGUUUAAGGACCUCGAGUUUGGAUAAUUUACCAACAAUGCUCAAAUCCUUCCAUGCCAAAGAAAAUUUUCCCCUAAAAGUUAAACUCUUAAGGUUUUGUGGAAAAGCAUCCGGAGGAGGUAAGAGUAAAGUUGGAACAUCAGUUGGAGGUGCAGUUCCCCCGAAACGAGUCUGAAACCUCAGAGGAUCUUGCGGAGUAGAACCUGAAGGUGCAGUGUUUUUUAGAAAGCAAGCAAUAGGUGAAUAAUAAAUACCAAAUGUCAAUUUCUCGAGCUGAUAUAAGUAGCGAAAAUCAUACAGGUCCUUGUGAUUGCGAAAGUCCUCUGGGACGCCAAAUACUUUCAACUUCUUUAAAUUGGGAAAUAGUCUAAAAAAAGACCCUGUACAAUACCGAGGAUUCAAUUGAUUGAGGCAUUGCAAACUUUUCAAAACCAAUCUGUUCUCUGUAGGCUCAUGACUCUGCAAGUAAUUCCAGCCCAUAUGCAGCUUCCUCAAUUGUGGCAUCGUCAAAAUUUCCGAUGGUAAUAUGAAAGGAUAACUACUAUUGGGAAAUGGAAGGUAAAGUUUAAAAGUUUGCAGAUAGCAUAGGCUUGAUAUCGAUAGAGGAAUGUCUAUUAUUGAUGAGGGAACAGCUUCUUUCGAUCCUCGAUACUGCUUUAAGCAAGGCUUAAAACACAAAGAUAGGUAUCUCAAAUGAAAUAGAGAAAGUACUCCACUGGGAAAAAAUGGGCAUAUAGUCAAACCAAGAUCUAGUACUCUUACUAGCUUGAAAGACAAUGCCAGUGUGACGCAUUUGAAUCCACCCAACAUGAUAAUAGAAUGAGCCUCACUGCUACAACACCAAACCAAUUUUUUCUCAUUAUGGAUUCUGAUCCGAUUUCGACUCUUAAAGGAACACUGCAUGGAUUGUUCACAUGAAUUUUGAUAACUCUUUCCUCUGAUAACAUUCACAAAAUUCAUGUUUCGAGCUUCCCUCAAACAGAGUUCACGGGUCACAUCAUGCAUUCCACAACUUUCUAUUGUUCCACGAAAACUAAAAUUGUGGAUGAAAAUUAAGCUUCUAUCUAUAAGUUCAUUUAUACAUGUUGUUGCCACCUCUUCUAUGCUUUUUCCCUCUUCUUCAUUCAAAAACCCCUCUACGGCCCAUAAUUCAACAAGUUUAUUUACAUAAAUCUGUUCAUCCUCUGCGAAAAUUGCAAAAUACAGAAAACACGGUUUUAGGUGAGAAGGCAAGUGAUGGUAACUCAAAGCCAACACUCUCAUGCACUUUGCUUCAAGAUCUGUGCUUACCACUGAACUUACAUUCUCCGCAACAUAUUGCCACACACCCAAUGUUUUACUGAUUUUGGAGAGAAGUCCAGCAAUCACAGUAAUUGCUAGAGGUAACCCUCCACAUUUUAAUGCAAUUUGUUUCCCAAUAUUUUCAAAUUCAGGAGAAUAAGAACCUUCUUUUUCAAAGAUCUUUUUGUGUAGUAAAUUCCAACUUUCGUCAAAAUUCAUGAGGCGCAUGUGAUGAGGAGGCUUACCUGACCUAGCACAUUCAGCCACUUCCACAUUCCGAGUAGUCAGGAGUAUUCUGCUUCCAUUAUAACAGUCUGGGAAACAUAGUUUUAUAUCAUCCCAAGCUUCUGUAGUCCAUAUGUCAUCAAUGACUACCAAGUAUCUCCUGCCUUUCAGAUGCUUCUGCAAUCGGUCCGCUAGCUGAUCAUCAGGUUCAUCACUUAUCGAAGGAAGAAGGCCUAGGAUUACAUUUCUCACACAAUACUCUUGUGAAACAGUUGCUUUUGCACGAAUAUCAAAUCGAGACAUAAUGUAAGGAUCACUAUAGAGUUUUGUAGCCAAAGUUGUUUUCCCGAUACCUCCCAUCCCUACGAUUGAGACAACUUCUAGUUCCCUUCCUCCUCUAGCAAGUUGAUCCAGCAUCAUCUCAAAUUCAUUUUCACGGCCAACCAUUAUAUUCUCGGGCUGCUCAACAGCAUGUUCAGGUAAACUGACAAGUGAGCUAGUUUGUGGUUUUAGAUCUUUCAUGCUGUCCGAUGCUGCCAUCCACUGUUUCACGGUGGAAGCAAUGCAUUCUAGUGCUUGUUCCAAGACGAAAAAAAUCUCCCACAUAGCCCUGCUUCUUUCCUCCAAAUUCUGUGCUAAAAAAACAUUUCUUGAUUCCGAGUCAACCAUAUCUUCUGUUGUGUAUGCUACCUCUGCGAUUUCAACUUCCAAGAUUGUUAACCCCUCAUGAUCGCCCAUUAUAUUGCAGGAUUUCUCCAGAAUAGCUCUCAAAGAUUUGAGCUUUUCAUAAAACGGUUGCAAAUCACAUCCAGUAAGUUCCAUUGAUUGAUGUAUGGUUCUCAUAAGGGAAGUAACAGCAGCAUAAGCCAUAUAUCCAAAAAAUAGAAAUAUCUCUCAGUAUGAAAAUGGACAAAUUGCCACAAGUUAUGUAAUUUUUCAGUUUUUAAGAAAACAGAAAAUGCAAAGUUCUUUCUUUUACUAGCUAUUUCCAUCACAUUUCCAGCUAGGUCCACCAACCUUAUCAUCAUGUAGACAAAAGCAGAGACCAAAGUUAAAAAAAAAAGAAAAAAGGCAGGACUCUAACAGGAAAAAGUAGAAAAAAUUGUGACCAUUCAUUAUUAGACCCUACACUUAUCUAUUCAUGAAUAUAGGUAUGUUUCUUACAUACAAGAGAUUGAUGAUUUUAAUUCCAUUGAAAGCAACUUCGUAGAAUUUUCCAAAUCAAAGAGAGAGAAAUAUUAAGAUCCAAGUAGGAAUUUCUCUAUUCCUAGUUCGAUUCAAUUAACCAAGCAUAAAUAUCUCUUUAAAUAUAUAUGAGAAGUUUAGACUCUAAAAGUCAAAUCAACAAAAUAUUUAUGGGCUAACACAUGAAAAACUAUUGAGAAAAUUGCCUAAUUUCUGUAAAUUGGCCCUUAAAUCUCCAAAAUGGACUCUAAAAAUUGUCAGACUGUACGUAUUGCUCCCAACUCCCUACUAAGGGUUCUGUAAUUUCGAUUAGAAUUCGCCCGUAAGUCAUAUCACCAAUAUAUUAAUGACUAACACACACGAAAAACUAAGAAAAUUGUCUAAUUUCUUGAAAUUGGCCCCUAAAUGCCUAAAAUGGACUCUAAAAAAUUGUCAGACUGUACGUAUUGCUCCCAACUACCUACUAAGGGUUCUGUAAUUUCGAUUAGAAUUCGCCCGUAAGUCAUAUCACCAAAAAUAUUAAUGGGCUAACACACACAAAACACUGAGAAAGUCGCCUAUUCCUGUAAAUUGGCCCCUAAAUGCCCAAAAUGAACUCUAAAAUUGUGAGACUAUGUACUGCUCCACUAACUCCCUAUGGAGGGUUCCGUAAAGAUUUCACAAAGAAAUUAUUCGGAAGAUAUAUCACCAAAAUAUUUAUGGGCUAAUACAUUUUUAUUUGUCCAUUUGAUUUGAUAUAUCUUUCAAGUACUUUGAUCCGGUUAUACUUUUUUUUUAUUGCUAAAAAUAAAUAUCCACUUUUACUUGUUCAUUCUACAAAACAAAGACAAUAUUUUAUUGCUUGAUUCAGAUAUAAAAUUUGAGUAGGCUAAUUUACAAACCAUCUGUAGUCAUCCUGCCCCUAUGCUAUAACAUUUGAAAGAAAGAGGUCAUCAUCAUCAUAUUCAUCAUCGUUGUCAUCUUCAUCUUCAUCUUCAUCAUCAUCUUCAUCUUCAUCAUCAUCUUCAUCAUCAUCUUCAUCUUCUUCAUCAUUAUCAUCAUCAUCAUCAUGAUCGUCAUCGUCACUUGUUUCCUCACUGUUGAAAAAGCCAGCAACAAAAGAUGAAAAAUGAAAUGUUAUGCAAGUAUAACAAGUUACACAAUUACUAUAUUGGAAGGAUUUAAAUCAUAUACAAUGACAACGUAUGAACUUUUACACUAUAGGUGCCAUUUAACUGCUUAUUAAAGCAACUUAUAAUUAUUUUAUUACUAGUUCUGGACACAUGCUUUGCAUGUGUAUAUUACACGUUUAGUCACGAUUGUAAGAGGGUGUACACCAGGAUCAUUCGAAGAGCAAAGUCGUGUGAGCCUUACAGAUAUUCUUGACGUACUCCUAUUAAAAUCUGUAUCAUAAUAUCUGAUGAAAUCAGCUACUGAUCAGUCAAGCUCUCCAUUGAUGUAGACUUCAACUACACAUGAGAAAGAAUGAGAGAAGAAGAGAGAAGAGAAGAGAAGAAGAAUCUAGAAGAGCAACAUGAAAAUUAAUCUCUCAUUGAAUGUGAAUUAAAACUACAAGAAUUACAAUGUGACUAUAUAUAUAUAAUCACUGGCAGAAAUUAACUAACUAACAAACUUGAUUCUAACUAACUCUACUGUACAUAGAUUCUAACUAACUCUACUGUACAUAACCGACUCUACUGUACAUAACUAACUAAUUAUACUUUAUAUUCUCAUCACCCCCCCUCAAGUUGGAGGUGAUGUAAUUACAGACAACUUGUGCAAUAAGGCAGUAUGUUUAACUCCAGUCAGAGCCUUGGUGAAGAUGUCUGCCAACUGUGAAUCAGUGGGAAUAUGAUGGAGUGUGAUUAGGCCUUGUUGAAGCUUGGUCCUAACAAAGUGACAAUCGAUUUCUAUGUGCUUUGUCCUCUCAUGAAAAACUGGAUUCUUUGCAAUGUGGACUGCUGCUUGACUGUCACAAUGGACAGGGAUAGGUAAGGAGCAUUGUACAGUCAACUCAUCCAACAAUCGUUCAAGCCACACUAGUUCUCCUACAACUUGUCUCACAGCUCUAUAUUCAGCUUCAGCAGAUGACAAAGACACUGUUGCUUGCUUCUUAGACUUCCAGCUGACAGGACUAUCACCCAGAAGCACUAGGUAUCCACUAACAGACUUCCUGGAAUCAGGGCAAGCAGCCCAAUCAGAAUCACAAUAAGCACUGAUAGUGAGAUCAGGCUUGUUUGAGAUAAAAAUUCCCAAUGUUGGAUCCUGUUUCAAAUAUCUGAGCACAUGGUAUGCUGCUUUUAAAUGUGGUUCCCUAGGUGAUUGCAUAAAUUGGCUCAAGUGUUGUAUACUAUAAGCUAUGUCCAUUCUAGUGUUGGUCAAAAAAUUUAGCUUACCAACCAACUUCCUGUAUUGAGUAGGAUCAGAUAAAAGAUUGCCAUCUGUAGCUGUUAACUUCUCAGUGCAAUCAAGUGGUGAUGUAGUGGCCUUGUGACUUAACACAUCAAAAUCUUUCAGGAGAUCAGAAGUGAAUUUCCUUUGUGAAACUAGCACUCCAUCAUGUCUGUAUAAUAUUUCCAGUCCCAGAAAGUAGUGUAGUUUGCCCAAAUCCUUUAUCUUGAACUGAUCAUUUAAGAAGCUCUUUAAGGAGUUGAUUUCAGCCACAUCUGUUCCAGUUAGAAUUAUGUCAUCCACAUAUACAGCAACAAACACCAAGGAGCAGCCCUUCCUUUUGUAGAACAGUGAGUAAUCACUGUCUGAGUGCUGAUACCCUCUUGAACAUAGACAGUUUGCCAACUUCUCAUACCAUUGCCUGCUGGCCUGUUUUAGUCCAUACAAAGACUUCUUCAAUUUGCACACCAUGUUAUCACAACCUACUACAAGACCUUGUGGAGGUGCCAUGUACACUUCCUCAUGCAAAUCACCAUGUAAGAAUGCAUUAUUGACAUCUAGCUGAUACAAGCUCCAAUCUUUCUUAACAGCUAAAGAGAUUAAUGUUCUAACAGUAGUCAUUUUAACUACAGGUGAGAAGGUUUCAGUGUAAUCUACCCCAACUUGUUGUGUAUAACCUUUGACCACCAACCUACACCCCAGCUUGUUGUGUAUAACCUUUGACCACCAGCCUAGCCUUGAACCUCUCCACACUCCCAUCAGCUUUGUGCUUGAUUUUGUACACCCACUUGCACCCAAUAGCUUUCUUCCCAUCAGGUAACAUGACCAUCUCCCAAGUGUCAUUAGCAUACAAAGCUUCAAACUCCUGUGUCAUGGCCUGCUGCCAGGCAGGGUGCAAUAUUGCUUCCUCAAAUGAAAUAGGCUCACAUUCAUGUGAAAUGGUUGUUACUAACUGCUGACUAUCAGAACAAAGACUGGUGAAACAUACAUGUUUAUGGGGAGAUAUAAAGGAAGUGAGGGAGUGCAGCUUAGGUAUAGUGUAGGUGUAUUCUUUUAGGUAAUUAGGAGUGUGUAUGGUUCUGGUUGUUCUUCUAGGUGCUGAUAUUGUAGGUACUGGUAAAGUAUCAUGAUGCAUGGUGGCAUUUGGAUCAGGUAAGGUAGGUUGAGUUGUAGUAGGUUGAGUUGUAGGUUCAUGUAGGACAGCAGGUGGUACUUCAUUCAUGUUGGUAUUACUGGUUACUUGAUUAUUAGUGACUUCAUGUGGUGUGAAAUUUUCCAGUUGAUCAUCAUUAGCAAAAAUGUUCAUUUUACCAGACAUACAAGGCAUGCUAGUGGUAUGAGUAAGCAUUUGCAGAAUGGAAUUGAAACUAGAACCAUCAGGGGCAAUAACAAAAGGAAAAAUAUUUUCUUGAAAAAUAACAUCUCUUGAUAUAUGAACUUUCUUGGUAGCUAAAUUCAAAACUUUGUAACCUUUUGUAUUGAAAGGGUAACCAACAAAAACAUGAGGUGUGGUUCUAGGUUCAAAUUUAUCUUUGUGAGUUUUCAAGGUAGUGGGGAAACAAAGACAACCAAAACUCUUAAGGUGGGAAUAUGUAGGUGAUUUAUGGUACAACAUUUCAUAUGGAGAUUUAUUCUGUAAAAGUUGAGUGGGCAGUCUAUUAAUCAGGUAUGUGGCAGUCAAUACACAUUCCCCCCAGUACCUCAUAGGCAACUUUGACUGAAACAAAAGUGCCCUUGCUGUUUCAAGUAGGUACUUAUGUUUCCUUUCUACCACCCCAUUUUGUUGAGGUGUAUAAGGACAAGUUCUUUGGUGUAUGAUACCUUGUUUUGGAAGAAAUUUGUGGCUUCAGCUGAAGUAAACUCUAACCCAUUGUCAGAUCUUAUGGCUUUUUAACUUGGUUUGGAAUUGGUUUUCUAUGAGAGAUAUGAAGGCUUUGAUAGUUUGGAGAGCAUUACUCUUACAUCUCAGCAAUUGUGUCCAAGUGGACCUACUGUGGUCAUCUACCAUAGUGAGGAAAUAAUGAUAUCCAUCAUGAGUGGGAACAUGAUAUGGUCCCCAUAGGUCAACAUGUAACAACUCAAACACUUUAGUGGUGGUGGUGAUACUUUCUGGAAAAGGCAUCCUAGUUUGCCUAGCCAUAGGGCAUAUAUUGCAAGUAAAAGGCUGUUUAGGAGAAAAAUGAACAGGUAUAGUUGAGAUAUUUUUCAUUUUUACAAAAGGUACAUGUCCUAAUCUAGCAUGCCACAAAAGUUCAUCAUCAUGAGUGUGAUUAGAGACAUUUGUAAAUGAAGGACAAGCAUGAGUAAAACAAGAGGAAGGAAAAACAGUACAAUCUGCCUUAUUCAUAGGAGAGUAUUUUACAGAAGAACCAGUGGACACAUUAGAAUCUGAAACCCUGCUAGUAUUGCCUAAAGAAGAGACAAGAGGACAAUUAACAUGAGGUGCUUUACUCUCAGCAGAUGGACAACAAUUGUGGCAUUUGUGACACAAGAAGUACAGGCCAUUCUUGGCUUUACCAAGUUCCAGAGGGCUCUUCAGAGAAGGGCCCUGCAGCAAACAAGAAGAUUUGUCAAAGCUGACUACACCAUUGAAUUGUAGUGCUAAACAAUGAACAGAAAUGAGAUUAAACUUGAAGCUAGGUACAAACAACACUUUGCUUAGAGUCAAAGCUGGAUUUAAACAAGCAUCACCAAUUUCAGUCACUUUAACCUUGUAACCAUUAGGGAGUGAAAUUAGAAAGGGAUAUGGAAGUGAAAUGAUGUUUGUGAGGGUGGUCUUAUCAUAGGUCAUAUGGUGUGAUGCUCCUGAAUCUAUGAUCCAAGAGCCAGCAGUCAGUUUAACACAUUUACAAGAAAGAUCACCUAUAUCAGUAAUAGAGGAAUAACAUGCAAGUAUACCUGCCAAGUUCACAGCUCCAUUCAGCAUGUUGUUUGAGUUGUCUGAGGCUCCAUUUCCAACUUGUAAAGUUCCCAGGAGAUUGAGUAGUUGUUCAUAUUGAUCUUUGGACAAGUUCAAUGGCAUUUGUCUCCUUACUUCAGGUUCCUCUUCAGAUUGAACUCCAUUCAUAUCAGGGGCACACACAUUUGCUGCAGCUUUUCCCUUUUUGAACCUUGGAUUUGGAUUGGAUGGGUAUCCAUGAAGCUUGUAACAUCUAUCCUUUGUGUGUCCUGAUUUCUUACAGUAGUCACAAAACAAAGAAGACUUGCCAGUGCUAGAAUUGCCUCUAAACCCAGUAUUACCAGAAUUGGUUCCACCUCCUCCAGAUGAACUGUAGUUUGUCCGGAAUCCCCUGUAUCCUGCACUGCUGUUGGUCUGUCCAUAAGCAUUGAGAGAGGUAGAAUCCAAGGCUGUAUGAUUAUGAGGCUUCACCUCCCUUUGUUUUUCCUCUUGGGAUAAUAUGGCAAAAGCUUGAGCCAUGCUUGGAAGUGUGUUCAUCAUGAGAAUGCUGCCUCUGACAGUCGUAUAUAUCUCAUUCAAUCCCAUUAGAAAAUGUAUCAAUCUUCUGUCUUGUUCAGCCUUGUGUAAUUUGCUUUUACCCCCACAAAUGCACACACAAGUACACUGAGAAUUGACAUCAAUGGUACUCAUUUCCUCCCACAACUUCUUCAUUCUUGUGUAAUAUCCAGUGAUGUCUAAAGUGCCUUGGACCAGAUCAUUAAUUUCCUUCUGCAGUUGAUACAAUUUACACCCAUUGGUUUGAUCGUACCUUUCUUCUAGUUCUCCCCAAAGCUCCUGAGCAUUAUUGACAUACUGCAGACUAUCACGCAAAUCUGGUGACAAGGAAUUCAGGAUCCAAGAUGUGACCAUAUCAUCACACCUUUCCCAUUGCUGAAAGCUAGGAUCAGUAGGAUCAGGUCUCACAACCUUCCCAUUAAUGAAUCCUGUCUUGCUCUUAACAGAUAAAGCCCUGAGAACUGCUCUUCUCCAGGAUCUGUAACCAGUUCCAUCAAAAACUGCAGGUAAUAGGGAUGAACUUGCAUUCUCAGAUGGAUGCAAGUAGAAAGGACUAGGGAUUUCUACCCUAACAGUGGAUGCAGAAGCAUUUGGAAUGGAAUCAUUUGAAGAAUCGACCAUUGUGAAUUGAAAAUUGGGAAGAAGAUCAAGUCGAGAACAACCAGAUCAAACAGCGUUCACAAACAAAAUUGACAGAUCGAAGAUCCAGUCGAGAUCAACCAGAUCAAAGAAAAAAUUCACAUAAGAGAAAACGAAGCUCACAGAUUGAAUUGGAAACAAAAAAAAACAGGAGCAAUUCCCUGUGCUUUGAUACCAUGAUGAAAUCAGCUACUGAUCAGUCAAGCUCCUCCAUUGAUGUAGCUUCAACUCACAUGAGAAAAGAUGAGAGAAGAAGAGAGAAGAGAAGAGAAGAAGAAUCUAGAAGAGCAACAUGAAAAUUAUCUCUCAUUGAAUGUGAAUUAAAGAAGUGAGUAUUACAAUGUAUCUGUAUAUAUACACAAUCACUAAGCAACUAAUAAUCAUUGGCAGAAAUUAACUAACUAACAAACUUGAUUCUAACUAACUCUACUGUACAUAACCGACUCUACUGUACAUAACUAACUAAUUAUACUUUAUAUUCUCAUCAAUAUCCCUUUUUUCAAAUUUCAUAGCUGAACUACUAGGUGUGCGAGUUCCUACCAGAACUAUUACCAACUAUUUAUCAAAACACACAUCAACUAUAUAUGAGUUGUUCCCUUUUACUAGUGGUGAAAAAUAGGUGGAUUUGGACGGGACUGAAAAUGGAUUGAGCAACAUGGUCGUAACUCACUUUAAUCUCUUAAAGCCAGAAAACUUUAAAGAGUUAAUUGAAAUAAACUUAAUGACUAUCCUACUUGAAGUAUCACCAUCGUUCAGGUAAGAAAAAGGAAGUAAAUCAAGGAAGACGAUGUCUUACAAAGCCUGAUGGAUAUGGACCUCGAUAGAACCUCCAUAGUUGUCUUGAAUGUCCUGUUGAAUCUGCUUUGCGGAAUUCCCAACAGAUUCUGGGCAGUUUCUUAUAUCAAUUAGAGCAAGUGUGGUUAUAUCUGCAAAAUCUUGAGGGAUUGAGUCCAAAAACCUGCAACUAUCAAGAAAUAGUCGUUCAAGGCACGGAAAGUGAUCACAACUAGCUCUCCAGUACUGAAUAUGUGAUCUUUUAAGUAACAAGAACUUCAAAAAAGGAAACCCUUCCUCAGCUACUUCCCACUCCCUGCCUCUGCAUACACCCUGUGUUAGUUCAAGAAGUUCAAGUUUGGGCAAUUUUCCGACAACAAUGCUUAAAUCCUUCCAUGACAAGAAGAAAUUUCCUGUAAAAGUUAAAUUCUUAAGGUUUCGUGGAAAAGCAUCUGGAGGAGGUAAGAUCAAAGAUGGAACAACUUCUACAACAAGUGGAUUCCUUGUCUGAAAACACAUUCUCCUCUCCAAAAAGUAAGCAUUAUUUUGAGGAGGAAGACAAAAUGCUAGUUCCUCGAGAUGAUCUAAGUAGCGAAAAUCAUAGAGGUCUUUGUGACUAUGGAAGUCUUGUGGGAUGCCACGUACUUGCAACUCCUUUAAAUUGGGAAAUAGUCUAAAGAAAGAUGCAGUACAAUAGCUAGGAUUCCAUCCAAACAGAGAAUGUAAAUUUUUCAUAACCAAACUUUUCUCUGUAAGCUCAUGAUAUCGCAAGUAAUUCCGAUCCAAAUGAAGGUGCCUCAACUGUGGCAUAGUCAAAAUUUCUGAUGGUAAUAUCAAAGCAUGUUUACGAAGAUUAAUAACGAGUGGAAGGUAAAGUACCAAACUUUGCAGAUAGCAUAGGUUUGAUAUGGAUGUAGGAAUGUCUACUCUUGAUGAGAGAACAUCUUCUUCGGAUCCUAGAUAUUGCUCAACGUUAGGAUAAAUACGCAAAGCUAGGUGUCUUAAGUGAAUCAAAUAAAGUAUUUCACGGGGAAAAGUUAGACAGAUAUUAUCAGCAAGAUCUAGAACUCUUACUAGCUUGAACGGCAAGUACUCCCUCAUGCAACAUCGGAAUCUACCAAAUAAGAUAACAGAAUGAGCUUCACUGUUAAGGCACCUAACAUACUCUUUCUUAUUAUGGAUGCUGAUUCGACCUCGACUCUUAGACAAACACUGCAUAGAUUUCACACAUGGAUUUUGAUCAUUCUUACUUCCGAGAACAUUCACAAAAUUCAUGUUACGAGCUUCCAUCAUACAGAGUUCACGAGUCGUAUCAUGAAUUCCACAACACUUAAUUUUUCCAUCAAAAGUAGUACUUUCUAUGGAAAUUAAACUUCUAUCAAUAAGAUCUUGUAGGUACUUUUCUGCCACUUCUUCUAUGCUUUUCAUCUCUUCUACCUUCAAAAAUCCCUCUGUUUCCCACAAUAUCAUAAGUUUAUUGACAAAAAUCAGUUUAUCCUCUGGGAAGAUUGCGAAAUAUAAAAAGCAUGGUUUUAGGUGGUGAGGCAAGUAAUGGUAACUCAUUGCCAACACCCUCAUGCAUUGGACACCAACAUCUGUGCUUACUGCUGAACUUACAUUUUCAGCAACACUUUGCCACUCACUCAAUGCUUUGUCAAUUUUAGUGAGAAGUCCCGCGAUCACAACAAUUGCUAGAGGCAAUCCUCCGCAUUUCAAUGCAAUUUGCUUUCCAAGUUGUUCAUAUUCAGGGGAGAAAGAGUCUUUCGUAAAGACUUUUUCAUACAAUAAACUCCAACUUUCGUCAAAAUUCAUGAGGCGCAUGUGAUAAGGAGGCUUACCUGAGCUAGCAUAUUCAGCCACUUCCACAUUCCGAGUAGUCAAGAGUAUUCGGCUUCCAUUAUGAAAGUCUGGGAAACAUAUUUGUAUAUCAUCCCAAGCUUUUGUAGUCCAUAUGUCAUCAAUGACUACCAAAUAUCUCUCACCUUUUAGAAGCUUUUGUAGUCGAUCUGCUAGUUGCCCGUCAUGUAGCUGAUCAUAAGGUUUAUCACUUAUACAAGAAAGAAGGUCUAGGAAAACAUUUCUCACACAAUACUCUUGUGAAACAGUAGCUUUAGCACGAAUGUCAAAACGAUACAUCAUGCAUGGAUCGUUGUAGAGUUUCGUAGCCAAAGUUGUCUUGCCAAUGCCUCCCAUACCUACAAUUGAUACAACUGCUAGUUCUCUUUCUCCUCUAGCAAGUUGAUCCAGCAUCAUCUUGAAUUCAUUUUCAUAGCCAACCAUUAUAUCCUCGGACCGCUCAACAGCACGUUCAGGUAUCUUGGAUAGACAAAAAUUUUGUGCUUUGAAAUCUUUAAAGUUGUUGUACCAGUCCCAUAUUGCCAACCACUGCAUCAUGAAGGAAUCAAUGCAUUCUACCUCUUGUUCCAAGGAACAACAGAGUUCCCAGAAAGCUUUGCUUCGUGUAAUUACAGUUUCUGCGGAAGAAACUUUUCUUGAUUUCGAAUCAACCAUGUCUUCUGCUUUGUAUGCUACCUCCGCGAUUUCAACUUCCAAGGUUGUUAACCCCUCAUGAUCUCCCGUUAUAUUGCAGGAUUUCUCCAUAAUAGCUCUCAAAGAUUCAAGCUUUUCAUAGAAUGGUUGCAAAUCACAUCCAGUAAGUUCCAUUGACUGGUGUAUGGUUCUCAUAAGGGAAGUAACAGCAGCAUAAGCCAUAUAUCCAAAAAAUAGGAAUCUCUCACACUCAGUAUGAAAAUGGACAAAUUAAUUGCCACAAGUUAUGUAAUCUUUCUUUUACUAACUAUUUCCAUCACAUUUCUAGCUAGGUCCACUAACAGGUAAAGUAGAAAGAUGUGAGGUCCCUAACCUUAUCAUCAUGUAGACAAAAGAAGAGACCAAAGUUUUUAAAAAAAAGACAGGAAAAAGUAGAAAAAUUUGUGAUCAUUCAUUAUUAGACCCUACACUAAUCUCUUUAGAAAAAUAAACUAAAAUUUUAGUUUAAAUAAAGGAGUUCAAGCUGUAUAUUGAUAACGCCCAAUUCAAAUUCAAGUGUAGUACGGUCUAGCAAUAAUAAACUCAACAAAUGUUGGGGUCGAGGAGUAUGCUUGUGUCAAGGUGACAGAGAAUGCGAAUUUGCGAAUUUCCUAAGCUUAUCUACAAAUAAAAGGUCUUUCUUUUAGCUAGGUCCAUAAUCCAUGUAGUGCUCUCUACUCUCUAGUCUCUAUCAACCAACUCAAGUUUAAGGGUGUGUUUGGUAUGGAGGAAACAUUUUCUCUAGAAUAGGGAGAGUUUUGUGCAUAAACAAAGAAGAAUAUCUCAGUAUAACAGUGAAUGUGUAUUUUUUUUAUGAUUUGCUUCAUUUGAGUAUGACUUUUGUAAGAAAAUUCUGGUAAAAGUUUAAAAAAUGAUCUUGUGGAAUAAGCACAGUGAAUUCCUUAAUAUUCGAGUAGAAAAAGCCAGGGAGGAUAACAUUGCUAUUUGUACACUUAUCGUGACACGAGUAGUCUCUUAAAUAUUACACCUUUCUACUGGUGUUGCUGGUGCCACUGAAUUUAGCCUUCCGUCUUCCUUUGCGAGGUAGAUUGAGGACUCCCAAGAAAGGAAACACAAGGUACUGGAGUCUGUUCCGGCCUCUACAGUAUGUAUGUACAUAAAAUUUGGAGUAACUAAAAAACCACUGACAAAUGGCUAUACGAAAGAUCAUAUACAAUUUAAUUACAAGCCAUUUGCAAUCAUCCUGCCCCUUUAUGCAGAAUCUUUUCAAAGAAAAUGAAAACAAACACUCACACAUUUGGCUUCUGAUUGACAUUUAUUUCAGAGAACUGGCUAGUCCUCAGAACACCUUAACUACUCGCUGCAGAAAAAAAAAGACGCAAAAAAUGGAAAAUAAUAUGUUAGAUGUCCCAUAAUUAAGGAACAGGAGAACAUUAUAGCAAGAAUGAGCAUGCAGGUAUAAGAACUUACACAUUAUUGCGGCAAGAAGCAACUUCUUUCUCAAAGUCAAUAUCAUCAUCUUCAUCUAUUGUUACACUACAUCGAAAAUGCUUGCUACAAAAGAUGAAAAAUGAAAUGUUACACUUCCCAAAAUCAAGAAUGAGCAUGCAAGUAUAACAACUUACACAAUAUUGGAAGGAUUCGAAUCAAUCACAAUGACAGCAUCAAGAACUUUUGUUGAAUUGGUGUAAUUUGACUUACUAAAGCUAUUAUCCAGAUUAUUAUCGAGUUUACUAUAAUGAUGAGUUAAAUAUUGUUGUAAAUCAAGGAAGAAGAUGUACUUACUAAAGAUUACGAGUAUGGACCUCGAUAGAGCUUCCAUAGUUGUCUUGAAUGUCCUGUUGAAUUUGCUUGGCGGAAUUCCCAACAGAUUGUUGACAGUAACUUAUAUCAAUAAGAGCUAGUGUGGUUAUAUCUGCAAAAUCUCGAGGGAUUGAAUCCAAAUAAUAGCAACUUCUAAGAAAAAGUCGUUCAAGGUACGGAAAGUGAUCACUACUAGCUCUCCAGUACCGAAUGCAUACUUCAUGCAGAAACAAGAACUUCAAGUGAGGAAACCCUUCCUCAACUACUUCCCACUCCUCGCCUAUGAAGGAUUUCCAUGAUAGUUUAAGGACCUCGAGUUUGGGUAAUUUACCAACAAUGCUCAAAUCCUUCCAUGCCAAAAAGAAUUCUCCGCUAAAAGUUAAACUCUUAAGGUUUUGUGGAAAAGCAUCCGGAGGAGGUAAGCGUAAAGUUGAAACAUCAGUUGGAGGUGCAGUUGCCCUGAAAGGUAAGAGUAAACUUGUAUAAAGUUGAACAACUAGCCACAUGAGUCCUACAUGACACAAUACACAUAAGACACCAACUAUUUCCAUCACAUUUCCAGCUAGGUCCACUAACAGGAUAAAGUAGAAAGAUGUGAGGUCACUAACCUUAUCAUCAUGUAGACAAAAGAAGAGACCAAAGUUAAAAAAAAAAAAGACAGGAAAAAGUAGAAAAAUUUGUGAUCAUACAUUAUUAGACCCUACACUAAUCUCUUUAGAAAAAUAAGUUUCAAUAAAGGAGUUCAAGCUGUAUAUUGAUAACGUCCAAUUCAAAUUCAAGUGUAGUACGGUCUAGCAAUAAUAAACUCAACAAAAGUUGGGGUCGAGGAGUACACUUGUGUCAAGGUGACAGAGAGUGUUCUGGCCUAUACAGUAUGUAUGUAUGUACAUAAAAUUUGGAGUAUCUAAAGAACCACUGACAAAUGGCUAUACGAAAGAUCAUAUACAAUUAAAUUACAAGCCAUUUGCAAUCAUCCUGCCACCUUAUGCAGAAAAAAUGAAAAUUCUGAUUUGACAUUUAUUUCAGAGAACUGGCUAGUCCUCAGAACACCUUAACUACUCGCUGCAGAGAAAAAAAAAAGACACAAAAAAUGGAAAAUAAUAUGUUAGAUGUCCCAUAAUUAAGGAACAAGAGAACAUUAUAGCAAGAAUGAGCAUGCAGGUAUAAGAACUUACACAUUAUUGCGGCAAGAAGCAACUUCUUUCUCAAAGUCAUCUUCAUCUGUUGUUAUAUCGAAAAUGCUUUCUACAAAAGAUGAAAAAUGAAAUGUUACACUUCCCAAAAUCAAGAAUGAACAUGCAAGUAUAACAAGUUACACAAUAUUGGAAGGAUUCAAAUCAAACACAAUGACAGCAUCAAGAACUUUUGUUGAAUUGGUGCAAUUGGACUUACUAAAGCUAUUAUCCAGAUUAUUAUCGAGUUUACUAUGAUGAUGAGUUAAAUAUUGUUGUAAAUCAAGGAAGAAGAUGUCUUACAAAAGAUGACGAGUAUGGACCUCGAUAGAGCUUCCAUAGUUGUCUUGAAUGUCCUGUUGAAUUUGCUUGGCGGAUUUCCCAACAGAUUGUCGACAGCUACUUAUAUCAAUAAGAGCUAGUGUGGUUAUAUCUGCAAAAUCUGGAGGGAUUGAAUCCAAAUCAUAGCAAUUUCUAAGAAAAAGUCGUUCAAGGUACGGAAAGUGAUCACUACUAGCUCUCCAGUACCGAAUGUAUAUGUUAUCCAGAAACAAGAACUUCAAGUGAGGAAACCCUUCCUCAACUACUUCCCACUCCUCGCCUAUGACGGCAUUGUCUGAUAGUUUAAGGACCUCGAGUUCGGGUAAUUUACCAACAAUGCUCAAAUCCUUCGAUGCCAAAAAGAAUUCUCCGCUAAAAGUUAAACUCUUAAGGUUUUGUGGAAAAGCAUCCGGAGGAGGUAAGAGUAAAGUUGGAACAUCAGCUGGAGGUGCAGCUUUCCCGAAUUGUGUCUUUUUGUACAAUAAUUUCGUCUGAAACCUCAGAGGAUCUUGCGGAGUAGAACCUGAAGGUGCAGUGCUUUCUAGAACGCAAGCAGCACCUGGAUAAUAAACACGAAAUGCCAAUUUCUCGAGCUGAUAUAAGUAGCGAAAAUCAUACAGGUCCUUGUGAUUGCGAAAGUCCUCUUGGACGCCAAAUACUUUCAACUUCUUUAAAUUGGGAAAUAGUCUAAAAAAAGACCCUGUACAAUUCCGAGGAUUCAAUUGAUUGAGACAUUGCAAACUUUUCAAAACCAAUCUGUUCUCUGUAGGCUCAUGACUCCGCAAGUAAUUCCAGCCCAUACGCAGCUUCCUCAAUUGUGGCAUCGUCAAAAUUUCCGAUGGUAAUAUGAAAGGAUAACUAUCGGUAAAUGGAAGGUAAAGUUUAAAAGUUUGCAGAUAGCAUAGGCAUGAUAUCGAUAGAGGAAUGUCUAUUAUUGAUGAGGGAACAGCUUCUAUCGAUCCUCGAUACUGCAGUAAGCAAGGAUUAAAACACAAAGAUAGGUAUCUCAAAUGAAUUAGAGAAAGUACUCCACUGGGAAAAAUUGGGCAUGGAGUCCAACCAAGAUCUAGUACUCUUACUAGCUUGAAAGACAAUUCCAGUGUGAUGCAAUUGAAUCCACGCAACAUGAUAAUAGAAUGAGCCUCACUGUUACGACACCAAGCCAAUUCUUCCUCCUUAUAGAUACUGAUCCGACUUCGCUUCUUAAAGGAACACUGCAUGGAUUGUGCACAUGAAUUUUGAUCACUCUUUCCUCUGAUAACAUUCACAAAAUUCAUGUUUCGAGCUUCCCUCAAACAGAGUUCACGGGUCACAUCAUGCAUUCCACAGCUCUGUAUUUCCCCAUCAAAACUCAAUUUGUGGAUAGAAAUUAGACUUCUAUCUACAAGUUCGUUUAUACAUGUUUCUGCCACCUCUUCUAUGCUUUUUCCCUCUUCUUCAUUCAAAAACCCCUCUACGGCCAAUAACUCAACAAGUUUAUUUACAAAAAUCCGUUCAUCCUCUGCGAAAAUUGCAAAAUACAGAAAACACGGUUUUAGGUGAGAAGGCAAGUGAUGGUAACUCAAAGCCAACACUCUCAUGCAUUGUGCUUCAGGAUCUGUGCUUACCACCGAACUUACAUUCUCCGCAAUUCUUUGCCACUCAUCUAAUCUUUGACCGAUUUUGGAGAGAAGUCCAGCAGUCACAGUAAUUGCUAGAGGUAAUCCUCCACAUUUUAAUGCAAUUUGUUUCCCAAUAUUUUCAAAUUCAGGAGAAUAAGAACCUUCUUUUUCAAAGAUCUUUUUGUGUAGUAAAUUCCAACUUUCGUCAAAAUUCAUGAGGCGCAUGUGAUGAGGAGGCUUACCUGAACUAGCAUAUUCAGCCACUUCCACAUUCCGAGUAGUCAGGAGUAUUUUGCUUCCAUUAAUACAGUCCAUAUGUCAUCAAUGACUACCAAGUAUCUCCUGCCUUUCAGAUGCUUUUGCAGUCGGUCCGCUAGUUGAUUCUCAGGUUCAUCACUUAUCGAAGAAAGAAGGCCUAGGAUUACAUUUCUCACACAAUACUCCUGCGAAACAGUUACUUUUGCACGAAUAUCAAAUCGAGACAUAAUGUAAGGAUCACUAUAGAGUUUUGCAGCCAAAGUUGUUUUCCCGAUGCCUCCCAUCCCUACGAUUGAGACAACUUCUAGUUCCCUUCCUCCUCUAGCAAGUUGAUCCAGCAUCAUCUCAAAUUCAUUUUCACGGCCAACCAUUAUAUUCUCGGGCUGCUCAACAUCAUGUUCAGGUAAACUGACAAGUGAGCUAGUUUGUGGUUUUAGAUCUUUCAUGCUGUCCGAUGCUGCCAUCCACUGUUUCACGGUGGAAGCAAUGCAUUCUAGUGCUUGUUCCAAGACGAAAAAAAUCUCCCACAUAGCCCUGCUUCUUUCCUCCAAAUUCUGUGCUAAAAAAACAUUUCUUGAUUCCGAGUCAACCAUAUCUUCUGUUGUGUAUGCUACCUCUACGAUUUCAACUUCCAAGAUUGUUAACUCCUCAUGAUCGCCCGUUAUAUUGCAGGAAUUCUCCAGAAUAGUUCUUAAAGAUUCGAGCUUCUGUGUAUGCUACCUCUACAAUUUCAACUUCCAAGAUUGUUAACUCCUCAUGAUCGCCCAUUAUAUUGCAGGAUUUCUCCAGAAUAGCUCUCAAAGAUUUGAGCUUUUCAUAAAACGGUUGCAAAAUCACAUCCAGUAAGUUCCAUUGAUUGAUGUAUGGUUCUCAUAAGGGAAGUAACAGCAGCAUAAGCCAUAUAUACCAAAAAAUAGAAAUAUCUCUCAG
rnacentral:lncRNA from 1 species